rnacentral:lncRNA from 1 species
GCAAAAAGGAACACAGAACUUUGGAGGGGGGGGGGGUGAGCUGAUCCAGAGGUGGAAACUGACUUCUGUCUGGAAACACACCCUAGGGAGGUUGGCUCUGGCUAAUUCCCUGAUCGAGGGAUCUCUUUCCCUGUGAUUCCUGACCCCAGAUCCUCACAGGAAGACAAGACAAUUGGACAGGAUUCUGAAACAUGAGCUGUCCACUAAGAAAGAUUUCCAUCAACCUCUUUGAAUUUGAACUUGGGGACACGUUCUGUGCAGCCAAGAACAAGAAUCUCUUUACUCUGAUCCAAAGAGGAUCAAGUGAAACAAGCCUGAUCUGCCUGACUUUGGGGGAAAGGGUAUUAGUUAGAUAGGGACCCCUUCUCCCUCCUUCCUUCUUGAACCUCAAUUCCUUACCCUCCAUCUUCCCUGUUCCCUUUCUGUUUCCCUCAAAUAAGCACAGUUAAUAAGACCGAGGAACAGACUCAACUGUUACUAGAGGGAAACUUGAGAUUGAGGGGGAAGAGAAGUGACCUUUCUCUUCCCAGGAAGAAAGGAGGCUUAUGACCAUAAGCCUUUACAACAAGAUCCUUCAGAGAACCCAGCAGUUAAGAGACACCUUGUAGAUUCUUCUGGAAAGCUUUAGCAGCAGAAAGGGACUUUAAAGUCUAUCUAGUCCAACUCUCUCAUUUUAGAAAUGAAGAACCUGAGGCCUAAAAAAGUUAAAUGACUUUUCCAAGGUCACACAGGAAGUUGCAGAACUCAAGCAUUAUUUCCCUUGAUGAUGGCUGCUGUGACUGAACUGGACAGAGGCUCAUCAAAGGACCCACAUAGCAUCAGGAUCAACAUUGGAUGGGAACCUGGUGGUACCAACGUUAUGCAGAAAUUGUAUAGAAAUUAUCUGAGAUCACUUUCCUCAGAGACUGAUAUGUGCUCACAAAGGGAAAAUAGCUGCGUUUUUGUUCUUAGUAUGUCCUGAAAAUAAAGAUUUCUUUCUAGAAGUUAAAAAAAAAUAU